ensembl:lncRNA
CAACCAUCUCAUCCUUUGUCAUCCCCUUCUCCUCCCACCUUCAAUCUUUCCCAGCAUCAGGGUCUUUUCCAAAAAGUCAGCUCUUUGCAUCAGUCCUUCCAGUGAACAUUCAGGACUGAUUUCCUUUAGGAUGGACUGUUUGGAUGUCCUUGCAGUCCAAGGGACUCUCAAGAGUCUUCUCCAGCACCAGUUCAAAAGCAUCAAUUUUUCAGUGCUCAGCUUUCUUUAUAGUCCAACUCUCACAUCCAUACAUGACCACUGGAAAAACUAUAGCCUUGACUAGACAGACCUUUGUUGGCAAAGCAAUGUCUCUGCUUUUUAGUAUGCUGUCUAGGUUAGUCAUAACUUUCCUUCCAAGGAGGAAGCGUCUUUUAAUUUCACGGCUGCAAUCACCAUCUGCAGUGAUUUUGGAGCCCCCACCCCCAAAAAAAGUCUGCCACUGUUUCUACUGUUUCCCCAUCUAUUUCCCAUGAAGUGAUGGGACCGGAUGCCAUGAUCUUAGUUUUCUGAAUGUUGAGUUUUAAGCCAACUUUUUCAGUCUCCUCUUCCACUUUCAUCAAGAGGCUCUUUAGUUCUUCUUUGCUUUCUGCCAUAAGGGUGGUGUCAUCUGCAUAUCUGAAGUGAUUGAUAUUUCUCCUGGCAAUCUUGAUUCCAGCUUGUGCUUCCUCCAGCCCAGUGUUUCUCAUGAUGUACUCUGCAUAUAAGUUAAAUAAGCAGGGUGACAAUGUACAGCCUUGAUGUACUCCUUUUCCUAUUUGGAACCAGUCUGUUGUUCCAUGUCCAGUUCUAACUGUUGCUUCCUGACCUACAUACAGAUUUCUCAAGAGGCAGGUCAGGUGGUCUGGUAUUCCCAUCUCUUUCAGAAUUUUCCAUAGUUUAUCGUGAUCCACAAGUCAGACUUUGGCACAGUCAAUAAAGCAGAAAUAGAUGUUUUUCUGGAACUCUCUUGCUUUCUCCAUGAUCCAGUGGAUGUUGGCAAUUUGAUCUGUGAUUCCUCUGCAUUUUCUAAAACCAGCUUGAACAUCUGGAAGUUCACAGUUCACAUGCUGUUGAAGCCUAGCUUGGAGAAUUUUGAGCAUUACUUUGCUAUCGUGUGAGAUGAGUGCAAUUGUGUGGUAGUUUGAGCAUUCUUUGGCAUUGCCUUUCUUUGGGAUUGGAAUGAAAACUGACCUUUUCCAGUUCUGUGGCCACUGCUGAGUUUUCCAAAUUGGCUGGCAUAUUGAGUGCAGCACUUUCACAGAUCAUCUCUUAGGAUUUGAAAUAGCUCUGCAGUAAUUCCAUCACCUCCAUGAGCUUUGUUCGUAGUGAUGCUUCCUAAGGCCCACUUGACUUCACAUUCCAGGAUGUCUGGCUCUAGGUGAGUGAUCACAGCAUCGUGAUUAUCUGGGUCAUGAAGAUCUUUUUUGUAUAGUUCUUCUGUGUAUUCUUGGCACCUCUUCUUAAUAUCUUCUGCUUCUGUUAGGUCCAUGCCAUUUCUGUCCUUUAUCAAGCCCAUCUUUGCAUAAAAUGUUCCCUUGGUGUCUCUAAUUUUCUUGAAGAGAUCUCUAGUCUUUCCCAUUCUGUUGUUUUCCUCUAUUUUUUUUUUUUUGUAUUGAUCACUGAGGAAGGAUAAUAGACUGUCUGAAAGUGAUCAGUGCUGUGGAUAAAACAAAACAGAAAAUGGAGAGGGGGAGUACUGAGGAUGGGUUUGCAAGGUGAAAUACAGCAACAGAAAGAAUUAUUGAGAAGGUGUUGUAUGGGUCAGCGAUCUGAAUGGUGUUGAGGGAGGACGCCAUUCUCAUGCCUGAGAGACGGUUCCAGGCAGAGGAAGGAACAAGGGUGGAGGCAUCGCAGGUGGAGCCCAGGGCAGUGUGGUUAGCAAGGAUCCAGCUCCCUGGAAACUGAGUGCAGUGAGGUCAGAGGGGUGACAGGGAGCCCCUG